rnacentral:rRNA from 1 species
UACGGAGGGUGCAAGCGUUGUCCGGAAUCACUGGGCGUAAAGGGCGCGUAGGCGGCUCAUGAAGGCUGUGGUGAAAGUCCGGGGCUCAACCCUGACAGGCGGUGGAAACUACCAAGCUGGAGUACGGUAGGGGCAGAGGGAAUUUCCGGUGGAGCGGUGAAAUGCAUAGAUAUCGGGAAGAACACCAACGGCGAAAGCACUCCGCUGGGCUGAUACUGACACUGACAAGACGAA